rnacentral:rRNA from 1 species
UACGUAGGAUGCGAGCGUUGUCCGGAAUUAUUGGGCGUAAAGCGAACGUAGGCGGUUAUUUAAGUUUGGUCUUAAAGACCGGGGCUCAACCCCGGGAAUGGACUGAAUACUGGGUAACUGGAGCGUGCUAGAGGAUGGUGGAAUUCCCAGUGUAGCGGUGAAAUGCGUAGAUAUUGGGAGGAACACCGGUGGCGAAAGCGACCGAUCUGGGGCAUUGCGUGACGCUGAGGUUCGAAAGCUCGGGGGAGCAAACAGGG